rnacentral:rRNA from 1 species
GAUGAGCGCUGGCGGCGUGCCUAAUACAUGCGAGUCGAGCGGUAAGGCCCCUUCGGGGGUACACGAGCGGCGGACGGCUGAGUAACACGUAGGAACGUACCCCAAAGUGAGGGAUAACUGCUCGAAAGAGUGGCUAAUACCGCAUGUGAUCCACGGAUUAAAGCUUUAUGCGCUUUGGGAACGGCCUGCGUCCGAUUAGCUUGUUGGUGAGGUAAUAGCUCACCAAGGCGAUGAUCGGUAGCUGGUCUGAGAGGAUGAUCAGCCAGACUGGGACUGAGACACGGCCCAGACUCCUACGGGAGGCAGCAGUAGGGAAUUUUCCACAAUGGGCGAAAGCCUGAUGGAGCAACGCCGCGUGCAGGAUGAAUGCCUUAGGGUUGUAAACUGCUUUUAAUAGUGACGAUUAUGACGGUAACUAUUGAAUAAGGACCUGCUAACUACGUGCCAGCAGCCGCCGUAA